ensembl:lncRNA
UGAGACGCGGAUUACCCAAACGCGCACCGGCUGGGCGCGUUGCGGGGUCUCUGCGUUAGACCGGUUCUCAGCGGUUUCUGCAGCCACAGCCUGGCUCUACGCCUCCCCCCGGGCCGCGGGGGCGGAGAAUCCUCCCUUCCUCGGACACUGGAGCCGGAGCGGACCUUGCCCUCCCGCGGACCGCGCGGUAGGGGACGCCGAGAAAAGAGCCCCUGCGCCCGCCGCCUCCGGCCCGCCGCGCAGAGGGCUCCGCCCGUAGAGGUCAACUCCCCUCACCCUUUCGGCUCUCCUGAUCGCCCUCCCUCCGCCCGGCCCAGGCUCCGCCAGCCUCCCGACUCGGGCCGCAGUCUGAGGAGUGCGCCUCCGCUGCGCUGCUCUGAACCUUAACCCCGAGCCGGGCCCAGACCCGAGGUCCGCGCACCCCGGCGGUGGGGAAGCCUUAGCGAGCAGCCUUUUCUCUGCAGCAAAGCUGUAGGAAGACCAGAUGGGCCGCGCAGCUCUCUCGGGACUAGGCAGGUGCGGUUGAGUUAAUUUUUCCGCAUUACAAAGAAAGAUGACCCAGUCCGCCCUUGGACCCUCAUCUCUUCCCCAAAUCUCCCAACCAGAACCGCGGUAACGUUAUCAGAGGACACAGAGACUAGGCAUAUCUGCGUGAUUAUCUUACACACACACACACACACACACACACACACGUAUGAGUAUUUUCUUUUUUAUGUGCCAGAUCUCAUCCUCGACAGCUGGAAAUGACUGGCAAAGCUUUCUGCAGAACAGAAAGUCCUUAAAACCUGCCAUUCCUUACAAGUGACUUAGAAGAGAUGCAAGGCUAACCAACUCAGUUCAUUGCCUUGAGUAAAACAACACGUUUACGAACUUAGUUCUGCACCAGAAGGGUGAUUAACUUCGAUACACGCCAUCAUUUGAAACUAGAUUUGUAGGCGUAUGUAUGUUCUUAGGUGUGCUAUAAAUGGCAUGCAGAUAUAUGCAUAUGUAUAUGCAGACACUUACAUCGUCUACACUUCCACCGAACAGACUAAUUAGCAGUGGCUCUGGCAGCCGUGGCAGGAGGCUAGCUGAAACAGAAGCCUGAGCUUAUGAGUUAGGACUCUGGAGGAGUCAUAGGGACUCAAGCUCAGGGCAGGGGAAAAGGGCAGAAGGAGAAGUGUGGCAUUCGCAAUGGGUCAGUUACUUUCCGGAUCAAGACCAGACUCUGCCCUCCGUGUUCACAGCGGACCUUGAUUUAAUGUCAUACAAUUAAGGCACGCGGUGAAUGCCAAGAGCGGAGCCUACGGCUGCACUUGAAGGACACUAGAGCGUCUUAGAAUAAGAAAGUGCAAAAGGCACUUGCAAGGGUGGGCUGAGGGGUGGUAGAAUGGAACCCAUCCUUUAACACAUAAAGACCCUCAAACUGAUUUCAGAACCAGCCUAGUGUUCCAAAAGCAGAAGGGUCAUAGUUUUCACUAAGAGCCUCGGAAAUCCGCAAGCAAAUCCCCCAGGGGGAUUUUAGCGGAGCCUCAGUGACAGCUGUCAGGAGAGCAGUAGUUCCCGUCUGUGCAAAUAUUCCAGAGAGUUGAGGCGUUUAGAAAGCACUGGUUCUUUCAAGAGCAGGUAGUGUGAUUGUUUGCAAUCCUGGGCCAAGAUGCGGAAACAAAUCAGAAGGGAGAGGAUAAUAACAUUAAAUGGCGCCCUCAACACACUGCGCAAGAAACCUCAAAUAGUUCAGCUACUUCAGGAAGCUCUGAACACAGCCCCCCCUCCCCCUUCUCUUCCCAGUCUAGAGCUGGCCUCGCCUACUUAAAAAAAAAAAAAAAAAAAAAAAAAAAAAAAAAA